UACGAAGGGGGCUAGCGUUGCUCGGAAUCACUGGGCGUAAAGCGCACGUAGGCGGGUCGUUAAGUCAGGGGUGAAAUCCCGGAGCUCAACUCCGGAACUGCCUUUGAUACUGGCGAUCUUGAGUUCGAGAGAGGUGAGUGGAACUGCGAGUGUAGAGGCGAAAUUCGUAGAUAUUCGCAAGAACACCAGUGGCGAAGGCGGCUCACUGGCUCGAUACUGACGCUGAGGUGCGAAAGCGUGGGGAGCAAACAGG
rnacentral:rRNA from 1 species